rnacentral:lncRNA from 13 species
AUGCAGUUCAACCCAGCAAGCUGCCUUUGUCCUGUCUUUGUGUCUCUGAGUCUGUGCCCCAUCUCAUUGGGAGAUGACAGCAAGAGUCUAUCUUUGAAGUCCUUUGGGAAUGUGUGGCUUGGGCUGUAUCUCCUCCUGGCCUCCCAAACUGGGCUUGCCUGUAGACCACCUGCAUUGGCAUGCCAACUCUGCUACUUAUUGACUAGGACGAAGAGAAAAAAGCAAAGUUGAAGGCGAUUGCUUUGGUCUGUUGCUCGGUGGUGAAAUGAAGAUGAAUGUGGCAUUGAGAAGACAGGCAAAGAAAGCACCAAUGUGGUCAGGACCAAGACAGUCAGGAAAUCUGGGGUAAGAGACUUCGGGAAUUCUUGGUACUUUUCUCCCAACUUUCCUGUGAACCGGAAAUUAUGUCAAAUUACAAAGUUAAAGAAAACAGGGCAUUGUUCUCGGGUGCAAGAGCGAUAAUUAAUGGGAAGUUUGUCUUCUUGCAUACAGUCCCACUGUUCAAGUUCCUGCCCUAGAUUCCCAGACUGUCUGUGACUGCUCUGUCAGUCCCGGGAGCGGGUCCAGAGGCACCAAGAUAAAACUCUGUUCCCCCAUCUACGGGUGCCCAAGUCUUGCCUCAGUAUAAGCUCAGUCCUCAUUACAUCCUAACACGCUUACUUGUUUUCAAGGCUUUCGGUGUUUAAAAUUAAUAGACUUUAUUUUUUAGAACUUUGUUGAUUUCUAGAAAAAUCGAGCAGAUAGUACAGAGAGUUCCCAAACAGUCUCCUCCCGCUUGCACAAUUUCCCCUUUUAUCAACAUCUUGCAUUAGUGUGUAGUGCCUUCAUUAUAAUACUGAUACAUUAGUAUAAACUGAAGUCCAUAGUAUACAUUGUUUCACUGUUUCUCAGGGUGUUGUUUUGGGUUGGUU